GCGGAGGAAAAGAAACCAACAGGGAUUGCCUUAGUAACGGCGAGUGAAGCGGCAACAGCUCAAAUUUGAAAUCUGGCUCCUUCGGGGUCCGAGUUGUAAUUUGCAGAGGAUGCUUCGAGUUAUGGUUCCUUCCGAGUUCCCUGGAACGGGACGCCAUAGAGGGUGAGAGCCCCGUCUGGUAGGAAACCAUGCUCGUGUGAAGCUCCCUCGACGAGUCGAGUAGUUUGGGAAUGCUGCUCUAAGGGGAGGUAUACUCCUUCCAAGGCUAAAUACCGGCUAGAGACCGAUAGCGCACAAGUAGAGUGAUCGAAAGAUGAAAAGUACUUUGAAAAGAGAGUCAAACAGCACGUGAAAUUGUUAAAAGGGAAGCGCUCGCUACCAGACGUGGGUUCGGUGGUUCAACCAGGUCCAUGACCUGGGGCACUCCGCCGGCCCAGGCCAGCAUCAGCUUUCCGUCGGGGGCAAAGGCGUCGGGAAUGUGGCUCUCCUUCGGGGGAGUGUUAUAGCCCGUCGCGUCAUACCCUUCGGGGGGCUGAGGUACGCGCUCCGCAAGGAUGCUGGCGUAAUGGUAGCUAGUGACCCGUCUUGAAACACGGACCAAGGAGUCAACCUUAUGUGCGAGUGCCCGGGCGUAAAACCCCAGCGCGGAAUGAAAGUGAACGUAGGUGAGAGCUUCGGCGCAUCACCGACCGAUCCUGAUGUCCUCGGACGGAUUUGAGUGAGAGCAUAUAGGGUUGGACCCGAAAGAAGAUGAACUAUGCGUGUGUAGGGUGAAGCCAGAGGAAACUCUGGUGGAGGCUCGCAGCGGUUCUGACGUGCAAAUCGA
rnacentral:misc_RNA from 1 species